rnacentral:misc_RNA from 1 species
UUUGAAUGUCAAGGUUCCACUGAUGCAGUAGAGCUCGACGGUAUGACAUAAUUGCUUCUCGAGGAGCAUCUGCGAGUUUGCAUAAUUCAGGAAGCAGCUCAACAGUCUUGUUGAGAGUAUCCUGCAAUUUACAGUCAGUAGCAAAGGUUUCAGGCAAGCCUGCUGGUAAUGAAGAUUCAAGAAUGUCGAGAACUACAGUACAUGAUUGAGCAGCUUCUUUGUACCUCUGAAGAGCCUGCAAUGAUUUCGCUUUGAGAAAGACUGCUUCCAGG